rnacentral:rRNA from 1 species
UACGGAGGGUGCAAGCGUUAUCCGGAUUCACUGGGUUUAAAGGGUGCGUAGGUGGGCAGGUAAGUCAGUGGUGAAAUCUCCGGGCUUAACUCGGAAACUGCCAUUGAUACUAUCUGUCUUGAAUACCGUGGAGGUCAGCGGAAUAUGUCAUGUAGCGGUGAAAUGCUUAGAUAUGACAUAGAACACCAAUUGCGCAGGCAGCUUACUACACAGUAAUUGACACUGAGGCACGAAAGCGUGGGGAUCAAACAGG